AUAACCAGAAGCAGCAGAGAAAACAUCUGAAGUGCUUCCUGGACACACCUGUUAGGAAGUUUCUGCAAGAACCCAGGGAUUUCCUUCUUCCCAGACCUUGGGGCCUUCAUCUCCAGCCUCUCAGAAGGAAUAAAUUCUCAGAAAUACAGGAUCCACACACAUAGCCUGCCAGAAGCCUGUGCCACUGCGUAAGUGUGAGUGACUACGGAAGACAAGGUGGACUCCAAACCCGACGCUAUGAUCCACUCGAGCCUCGUCCAGGGAAUUUAUGGAGCACGUGGGACCUCCCUGCCAUCCAGAAGCACAGAGGAGGUGCGUCCCCACAACAAUGCCAGGAACACACAGCGGGGAAUUCUCUGACAUCGAGAGGCUUCCAGUGAGGGGCACUGGCUGCCCUGGAGGUGACAGAGACUCCACAUCAGCUACCUGCUGAGAUGGUGCUGGGAGCCUCGUGGAGCAGAGCAGCCGAUCCGAUCCAGGGUACCUGCUACAGGCCUGGCACCACCUGGGUCCGACCAACGUGCCCGCAGGAUGCAGAAAGGGCGCGUGAUGAGCACAGGAGAGUUUAGAGUGGCCCCGCGCCUGCUUCCCAAGCUCCAGAGACACUUUCUGCAGCAGCCGCACUCCUGACAAAUGGGAUUUUGGGGGAAUCAAGUGUGAUUUUGAUUCACUCGGGGAGCUCACCACUUAGAAGAACGCUGCGGUUUCAACCAGUCCUUCAGAAAUGCAGAGAGUGUGGGAAUUCCAAUGAAAAGGCCCUGAGGAGGGCGUGCGGUUACGGGGUCCCUUGAGCUUGAUAAAGGGCAGACAGAGACGUCUUAGUCUUCGUGGUGGAGUUGAGACCGAGGCAGUAUCUUCAAAGGUGUAUUAAGGUGCCUUUGUUGUCGGCUUUCAACGCCUCCUUUGAAGGACUCGCUCACUUCCCCGGCAGGUGAGUAAGCAGCUCACAGGGACCCCGUGAGCAAAGCCUGCAAGGGGCAGAGCCAGGCUGCAAACCCAGGCCCUGCACACGGCUCUCACGCUUCUGUCACACCACACCCAGAGCAUCAGUGCCUCUAAUCAACCAACAUUUCAGUUCCUACGGUUCAAAAUGGGCCUUACAGGACUUCAAAGCAUCGAUAAUUCAGACAUUUGCUUGGUAAAUCCUCUAUCAUGGAAUAUGAUGAAGGCAACUUCAGAUCAACAAACUGGUGUCUGAAUUAUCACACAUUCUGAAAUCAGAGACGUCCAGUGAAAAGAGAUUUGUCUAGUAAAAGUAAUUCCAGAUGUGUAACCCAAAGGACUCGUCUAGGAAGUUCCAGUGGGAAGGACUUUGCUGCUCUCCAGCACGAGUUAUUUUCUCCCAGGACUUUUUCAGCCUGCCAGCCGUACACUUCCCAGACAUUUCACCAAAUGAAGAGAGAAAGGAAAACAAACAAACGAAAAGCUUUCUUUAAGUAGCUUUGAACUUUGCACUAGACAGAUCCAAAUUCAUUGGCUUCUGCACUAAAGCUGUCUCCAAGACAUCCCUGUUAGGUUCGUAACUAAAUCGCCCACUAAUAUUUAUGCUCUGUCUUAAACAAAGGAAAUAGGAGCUGUUGUCAAGGACACGGUGGGGCAGGCAAGGCGAGCCGGUUUCUGGUGCAGACACAGCCCAGAGACAAGCUUCAAAAGGACAGCUCUGCCUGGGCCCUCAGAGACGCGCAGCUGCGUCAGCGUGGACUCUGGGUGGUGCCGGAUUGUGGAUAAUUUGAGGGAAUGCACAGCACAUUAAGGAGGCUGGGAAUGCCGAGGGUCUGGUGGGCCAGGGUCUCUGAGCCCGACGUCCUCUCAGCCACCGUUCAGCCUGACCCAGGACAGGCCUCCACCCUCCCAUGCGCUCGACUUCUCACUCAGCAGAGACACGCAGCUUCAGCCAGUGCAGCAGCACCACGCAGCUUCAGCCAGUGGGCAGCACGUGGGCAGCAGGACCACGUGCCCACCAGAUGCCUAGUGUGGUACGUCUUGGUCAUAAAUUAGAUCCUUAAACAAAAAUGUCACAGAGCAGCCUGGCAAUCGGGAUUAGCAUUGUCGAAAGCUAAUAACUGCAGCACUAUAUCCUGAGCAGCCGAAUCUGCAAUCAUCUUUUCAAGAGACUCCUGUAACCGAGCUAUAAAAUCAACAUAUGGUUUUCUUGGUCCCUGUUUUAUAGCACUAAAGGAAGGGUAUUGUUUCCCACCUGAAGUGAUUUUUUCCCCAGCUCUAAUGCACACUCCUCUAAGGUGUUCUAUGGCAUCAUCCUGCAUGACCAGUUAUGCAUCGAAACCAGCCCAGCCGCCAACCCCUAAAAGCUGGUCUGCAGCUAUAUUAAUUCGAGGUUGGGCCUGGGCAUUGUGAGCAGCCUGAAUGGAAGCUUCAUCUGCCCACGAAGUUUUAAAUUGUAAGAAAUGAGCAGGAGUUAGACAAGCUCAAGUAAGAGCGUCCUCAUCAGUAGGAAUCAUCCUAUUGGAAACAGCAACAUUCUUUAACUGUCCCAUUACCAAAGGAGAACCUGGUCCAUACUGAUUUAUAGCUUGUUUAAAUUCUUUGAGUAAUUUAAAAGGAAAAGGCUCAAAUGUAGCUAUAUUUCCCAUUGAUCUGGGGGGUGUAUUCUAACAGGGAACUGCCAAGCCUCGAAAUCACCCUCUCAUUUAGCUUGCUGAAUUCCUGCCUGAAUAGAACUAAGAGUGGUCACUCAAGGCACUGCUCAAACAGUCACUGGGGCAACUACUUUUCGCCCAGUGUCCUCCAGAAAAGAAAGAUCUGGAGGGUCUUUUUCUUCAAAGUAGUAAGGAGGGAGUGCAGAAGGGUAGGGAUGAACCUCUCCUUCCUUUGCUGCUUUAGCUUUAGCUGGUAAAUAAACAUGCUCUGUAACCCCUUCUGUUACUUCACUAUACUCUCCUUCCUCAUCAUCAGUGUGAAAAAGUUCCAAGGUGAAACGAACCAGACCCCACAUCUGUCCCAUUGUUACCCUGAUGCUUCUGAGCUCCCCUUCUUACUCACCACAGGGAUUGCUUUAAGAGUACUCGAGUGUCCUCCAGCUAGUUUUCCACUCCAACCAUUGUUCUGGCAACCCUUCGACCUGGAUUUGAGUCCCCACGAUGGACGCCACUUGCUGAGACCAGCUAGGUCAGGGAGACCCUAACCCAGCAGUACUAGAGGAAUUAAAGACACACACACAGAAAUAUAGAGGUGUGAGUUGGGAAAUCAGGGGUCUCACAGCCUUCAGAGCUGAGAGCCCUGAACAGAGAUUUACCCAUGUAUUUAUUAACAGCAAACCAGUCAUUAGCAUUGUUUCUAUAGAUGUUAAAUUAACUAAUAGUAUCCCUUAUGGGAAACGAAGGGAUGGGUCAAAUUAAAGGAACAGGCUGGGCUAGUUAACUGCAGCAG
rnacentral:lncRNA from 1 species